rnacentral:lncRNA from 1 species
GGGAUCAAGAAAGGUGUUUACUUUACGUUGACAAGCUGAAGCAGAGAUGUGUUGAAGGCUUUAAAGACGGUGUUUUGAGCAUUGAGCAGUUAGCUUCUGUUGAUGGGUUAUGCGAAUGGGUUUUAAAGGCUAUAGGCGGGUCGGAUCCGGUUCAGACUUACAAUAUCAACCUCUCGGUUUUCACCUCGGUUCCUGAUCUUUGGGGGAUUGAGCAGCUGUUUCCUAUAGUCCCCAUCCAUAAGCUCGACCAGAGGCCAAUACAGCGAGAGCGGAAGAGCGAUCGUCUCUCAUCACUCCGUGUUGAUCUUCGAGGCUGUUUCCGCGGCUAAACCAAUGGCUCAGGAGGCUCAUCAGGUGAACCACGAUGAUAUUCAGUUUCUGCUUGAAUGUGACGAGGCUAGAGUUGAUUACGAGGAUCUAUACGCUGCUGUGAUGCGUGGGGACCAAGAAAGCUGCCUCCUUUACGUGGACAAGCUGAAGCAGAGAUGUGUUGACGGUUUCAAGGAAGGUGUUUUGAGCAUCGAGCAGUUGGCUUCUGUUGAUGGGUUAUGCGAGUGGGUGUUGAAGGCUAUAGGGGCGUCGGAUCCGGUGCAGACUUACAAUAUCAACCUUUCGGUUUUCACUUCGAUCCCUGACCUCUGGGGGAUUGAUCAGCUCUUUCCUAUAGUUCCUAUCCAUAAGCUCGACCAAAGGCCAGGGGCUCGCGGGGUCUUGUCGGAUUUGACGUGUGAUAGCGAUGGGAAGAUUGAUAAGUUCAUAGGCGGCGAGUCCAGCUUAGGUUUCCGCCUCGGGUGGUUUUUUUUUUUUAAUAAACUGAGACCAAGCCCAAUAAACCAAACGAAGCCCAGAAACCCAAAGCAUUUGAUUUUGUGUUUGGUUUUGUCCGCGACCCAGAAACCCAAUAAAAAAAAAUCGAUGUCCUACGUGGAUUAAUCAAAUGUUAUGAUUGGGUGAAUAUAAUUGCCUACGUGGAUAGGCUUAAAACACACUAUUUGUUCCUUUUAGUAUAGAGUAGAUUGUUGGUAAAAGGAAAUAAAACUUAAUAUGGUGAUUUAUUUUAUAGAUCGCUGACAGAAAUUAAUUGACAUGCUUCCAAGUUAAAGGCAUGGUCCGUGAAGUUAUGCCCAUUAAAAUACGGGUUGCAGCAUCCAAUAAAACGGCACACGUAUCAUAACCUGCUCCGCCACGCGGCGACUGCUAGCCAAGUGUUCGUGACCAAAAGAGAAUCUUGUUCUUAUAAAAAAUAUUACUCCCUACAUUUCUUAAAGAUAUAUAUUCUAAAGAAAAAAUUUGUUUCAAAAAAAUUCAUUUUUUUAUUUUUAAUAUAUAUUUUAUUAAUUAAUUGCAAACUUCAAAAAACCUAAUUGCACUAAUUGGUUUUUUAUUAGCUUAAAAUUAUAGAAAAAAAAUAAACAUAAAAAAUUAUACAAAUUUAAUGUGUUUUAUUAAAAUGUGUGAAAAAACUAGAAUAUGGAUAUUUUAAAAACAGAUGAAGUAUAACAAAACCCCAAGAGUACCCUAAACCCAUUAAUUAUUAUACUUCAUCCGUUUCAGUAUAUAAAUAGUUCUAUAAGGUUUUUAUUUGUUUCGCAAUAUAAAUUACUUUUAAAGUCCAAUGCACAAUAUAAUAUGAUAAAAUUUGAUAAAAAAAUAAAAAUUUGUCAUUGGCUCCAUUUUCCUUUUAAUUAAAUGCUAAAGCUAUAAAUAUGUUUUCUUAAAUGCUUGUGUUUUUAUGCAAACUACUUAUAAAUUGAAACGGAGAAAGUAUUGUCAUAAUUUUAUAUUCUUUCCGUUUCGUAAAAAAAAUAUCACUUAUCCAAUAAAACGGCACACGUUUCAUAACCUGCCGGCGACUGCUACCCAAGUGUUUGUGACGAAUAGAGAAUCUUUUUCUAUAAAAAGUACUAUAACAAAACCCCAAAAUUGCUAUGUGGAAGUUGUGAAUGCCGAUACAAACAGAGUAGCCGAGAAGAUCGCUGCCAGUGUUACUAAAGAUGGACGGUUUCAAUCUUAUAUAGCUCGUGGAGGUCCAAGUUGGCUCAAUGAUAUCAUUCUUGCAGAGGCUUCCAAUUCUCCAUCUUCAUACCAAAGAUAAGGCUGCAACGGUCUCUCUUACGGAAGUAUGAAGCUUUGGUUUCUACACAUUUCACCCUUUAUAGGGUAUUUUUUUUUCAAGCACCUAUUGGUGUAGGCUUUGAUGUGUUUUCGUCUUCUGCUGUUUUCUUUUCUCCGACAAUGAGUUUGGAGAUCAAACAUUGAAUUUAUUUCAAGGAUAUAAAAAAAAAAAAAACCCCAAACCUAUAUUUUAUCAUAAUUUUUGCACCCUUUUUUCAUAAAAAUAUCAUUUAGAUACAUUUUACGCAGAUUAAAAAUAAUAGAAUAUACAAUUAUUAAAAUAAAACGAUUUAAUUAAAUAUUUAUUGAUUAUUUUAAAAAAUAAAAAAUAACAUUAAAAUUAUAUUAAAAAUGUAGAAUAACACUUUUUUGAAACAAAAUAAAAAUCUAGAAUAAUUUUUUUAUGAAACAAAUGAAUUAUUUUUUUAAUGUCUAGCUAUUACAGUCUAUAAAAUGUUAGAUGAUUCUAAAAUUGACAAUUUUAUAUGUCUUAUCCACCACGCCUGACGGUAUUUUUCAAGGUUCUAAAAGUUGGUCUAGACGGCGCCUAAGCGGUAACUCGAUUAUAUCCGAUCUAUUUUUUUCUAAAUAUAUUAAAUUAAACAAUAAUAUUAUUAUAAAUAUACAAAUUUGUCUAAUUUUUUUUUAUUUGUAUAUCUAAUUUUUAUUCAUCACAAUAAUUUCAUAAUUAAACUUAAAAACUAAAAUAUGUCAUAGAAAUGUAUAAUAUAGAUAAAAUAAAUCAAUAAUUUGCUAACGAUUAGGUUUCGGCUAGGCCCCAGAUAAUUCGCCUAAUCACUAAUCUUUCUAUAAAACGUAGUUACCUCCUAGCGAUCUUCAGAACAUUGACAUUUCUUAUAACAUGCUGUAAUAUUUUGUAACUAUUUUCUCUAUAAUAUGCAUAACUUACAUUCUUCGAAAUUUUUACUACAAACCGUAUAAUAUAAAAACAUUAAUAAACUCUUAAUCAAACUAUCAGAAUUAAGGAUUUUCACAAAAUAAUUUAUAUUUAUAUAUUUUAUCAAGAAUUUUAUAUUUAUAUCUCAAAAUGCAGAAUUUGGAAAAGGAAACAUGUGAUGCCAAGUGUAGAGGAAAUAUAUUUAGAAAACUAAACGUUGCCAGGUAAUGUCAAAAAAAUAUAGACCAAUAGAACAGGAAACCAUUUACUUUCUUUUUCAAUUUAACACACGUAUGAAUUUCAGUCCACAUGUUGAAAAAAGAAUAACUCUAACAUAAAUGAGUAAGAUACAUAUUCUUAUAAAAUGAUAAUUUCCUUUUCAUUUAUUUUGAAAAAUUCCCCAAAUUAUGGUAUUUUUAGACCUGGAAUAUAUUUUGAUGACAAAUUGCUAAACCGAAUCUAUGGCAUAGGAAACUAAUCAAGGAUAUGAUUAUUCUGCGUUUUUCUUUCUUUUAUGCGGUGUAAAAGUAAUAAAAAGGCGUUGAAAAACAUGAAGCUGAUAUCAUAAUGGGCCCUACGGCCCACUUGCCUCCUUCCUUCGUAACCUCCUUCUCCUCCUCCACCUAUAUAAACAAGAGCAAGCUCCCUUCAUCAAUCUCACGCCUCCCCUUUCAUCAAUCUCUAUUUUCUUACGCAUUCUCCCGAGAAGCCUCACAUUCUCUUCCUCCUCCUCAAAACCCGGAUCUCUGCAUGAUAAGGGAAUAAAACUCGUUCUUGAUUUCCCUUUUUUUCUUUCUUUUAAUUUUCACCAGUUUUCACCUGAAGCAUUCACCGUGGAGAUUCUGGCAUCGGGUCGGGGCGCAAGAGGUGGGUUUCACGGCGUAGACAGUUCCAUCUUCCCCCUUCUUCUGAGGGGAUAGCCGAGGCUCCGGCCUCGGCGGUUUUCAAGCCCCUACCUUUACAAAUUCCCAGAUUCAAUAGUUUUUUUUCUCCUCCGUCGUGAUGCCUGCUCUAGCUUGCGUCGAUACCACCGCCUUCCCCCCUCCGCCGCCGUCCCUUCUUUCCGACCCCUCUUGCCGUUGGAACUCCUCCCUCUCCGCCGCUCUUUACCGGAUCGACGGAUGGGGAGCUCCCUACUUCACCGCCAACACCUCCGGCAACAUCUCCAUCCGUCCUCACGGAUCCAACACUUUGCCCCACCAAGACAUCGAUCUCUUGAAAGUUGUUAAGAAGGUAACGGAUCCUAAGCCGUUAGGCGGUUUGGGAUUGCAGCUCCCGGUUAUCGUCCGGUUCCCCGACGUUUGAUCACCCUAAGAUGAUCAUCUCAUGGCUAUUGAGAACGAAUCAAAUCGGUACGGUUCUCAUUACCAGGGCGUGUAUCCGGUUAAGUGCAAUCAAGACCGGUUCGUGGUGGAGGAUAUUGUGAAAUUCGGAUCUGGUUUCCGGUUCGGUUUGGAAGCUGGGUCUAAGCCGGAGAUUCUCCUCGCUAUGAGCUGUUUGGUUAAAGGUAACCGCGAGGCUUUUCUUGUGUGUAACGGUUUUAAAGACGUUGAGUAUAUAUCUUUGGCUUUGCUCGGGAGGAAGCUUGCGUUGAACACUGUGAUUGUGCUUGAGCAAGAGGAAGAGCUUGAUUUGGUUAUUGAUCUGAGCCGGAAGAUGAAUGUGAGGCCUGUGAUUGGGUUACGAGCUAAGCUGAGGACCAAACACUCUGGUCAUUUCGGGUCAACGUCUGGUGAAAAGGGAAAGUUUGGUUUGACCAGUACUCAGAUUGUUCGUGUUGUGAGGAAGCUUAGGGAAAGUUGUAUGCUUGAUUGUCUCCAGCUUCUGCAUUUCCACAUUGGGUCGCAGAUUCCGUCGACGGGUUUGCUCUCUGACGGUGUUGGGGAAGCUGCUCAGCUUUACUGCGAGCUCGUGCGUCUCGGUGCGGGUAUGAAGGUUAUUGAUGUUGGUGGCGGUUUGGGGAUUGAUUACGACGGGUCUAAGUCCGGAGACUCGGACCUCUCCGUUGGUUAUACUCUCGAGGAGUAUGCUGAAGCUGUUGUGGCUUCUGUUCGGUCUGUAUGCGACCGGAGAUCCGUGAAGCAUCCGGUGAUAUGCAGCGAGAGCGGAAGAGCUAUCGUCUCUCAUCACUCCGUGCUCCGUGUUGAUCUUCGAGGCUGUUUCCGCGGCUAAACCAAUGGCUCAGGAGGCUCAUCAGGUGAACCACGAUGAUAUUCAGUUUCUGCUUGAAUGUGACGAGGCGAGAGUUGAUUACGAGGAUCUAUACGCUGCUGUGAUGCGUGGGGACCAAGAAAGCUGCCUCCUUUACGUGGACAAGCUGAAGCAGAGAUGUGUUGACGGUUUCAAAGACGGUGUUUUGAGCAUCGAGCAGUUGGCUUCUGUUGAUGGGUUAUGCGAGUGGGUGCUGAAGGCUAUAGGCGCGUCUGAUCCGGUUCAGACUUACAAUAUCAACCUUUCGGUUUUCACUUCGAUUCCUGAUCUGUGGGGGAUUGAUCAGCUGUUUCCUAUAGUUCCUAUCCAUAAGCUCGACCAGAGGCCAGGGGCUCGCGGGGUCUUGUCGGAUUUGACGUGUGACAGCGAUGGGAAGAUUGAUAAGUUCAUAGGCGGCGAGUCCAGCUUGCCGUUGCACGAGCUAGACGGCGGCGGUGGAGGAAGUUACUUUUUGGGUAUGUUUCUUGGAGGGGCUUACGAGGAGGCGCUAGGUGGAGUGCACAAUUUGUUUGGCGGGCCAAGCGUUGUCAGGGUCUCUCAGAGCGAUGGACCGCAUAGCUUUGCAGUGACCCGAGCCAUGCCUGGUCAGUCGUCUGCGGAUGUUCGCUAGGUGGAGUUCACAAUUUGUUUGGCGGGCCAAGCGUUGUCCGGGUCUCUCAGAGCGAUGGACCGCAUAGCUUUGCAGUUACCCGAGCCAUGCCUGGUCAGUCAUCUGCGGAUGUUCUCCGAGCGGUGCAGCAUGAGCCUGAGAUAAUGUUUCAGAGUCUAAAGCACAGAGCAGAGAAGUUGAUGCAUACCAAAGGUGGUGGUGAAGAUGAAGAUGAUGAGGAGUUGAACAACGUUGUGGC